ACUCUUUGAUAUCAAUCCAAUCUUCAGCGGUCCAGGACGUUUUGAAUGCUUAAAAGGAUUUUGACUCACAUCCUCAACACACACACACAGACAUACAAAUAGACAGACAGAUUCAUUAAGAACAGCCACUGCAGACUUGUUCAAAAAAAAAAAAAAAAAAAAGAAUCUGAUGCUCAGGAUGUACUGUAAGAAAAAUCCACACCAAAUCAGACCGCAACAACCACAUCAGCUCCACGCUGCACACAGAGAUGAUACCACAGAGAUAGUCGUCCAUUAAAGACUGCAACAUACGGACAUGAAAACACUGGUUUCACUGGCCCCUCCUUUACCGUUGUAGUAGGGGAAUGAAUACAGUCUCACGUUUACUCACAGUGUAGAUACAGCCAGCAGAUGACAGAAGACUCACAUCCUGACUCUGGAGAGGAUAAGAGCAACUGAGGAAUUUCAGGUUUCCAGGGUUGAAUCUACAUUUUUAGAGAGGUAGCAAAGUAUUGUAGCUAUAAUCUGAAGGAAAGCAAAGUCGCCUAUAUGGAAAAGACUCAUAUUCUUAGUAAGGAGAGGUUUAAAGGGCUCUUCAGGACAAGCUGCAGAUGGUACACAUGAACAUGUUAGUUACUCUCGCACACAUAUAAAGACCACUUGGACAAGACACACUGACGCACUUCCAGGCAGGGCAGCUGAGAGGAACAGAAGCUUGGCACUGACGCAAAUUCCCCCAGAGGACUUCACCAAUAUGAUGGAGAAGCUGAACCCCACCGGCACACCUGCAUCUCCCCCCAACCUACCUCGCUCCUCCUCCUCGUCCUCCGCCUCCUCCCCAUCCUGUGCCUCUGUAGAGCAGCACAGUCCCCUCCAGGACAAGACAUCCUCGGACACUGUCAGCAGCCCGCAUCCUGCUAACAAGACAGGGCACAAGGGACACACAGAUGUCCCCGCUGCUGGCUCGAUUCGGUCCCCCAUUGCCACGGAGACGGCGUUAACCAGUCACCACGCAAAUAUAGAUACAGCUGCUGCACCUGAGCCCAUUGUCAUGGAGACUGAAGAAGAGGAGGAGGAGGAGGAGGAGGAGGAGGAGGAGGAGGCGAGGAGGACCAACAACCACAACAGCUCCUGCUGCUUCUGCCAACGGGUCCCCAACUCUUUCCUCUCCACCUCCGCUCCUCCCGGCACCAGCCAAAACAUCUCCAUGCCUACUACCACCUCCAACCUCCACCACAUCUUUCCCUUCAUCCUCGUCAUCCUCUUCUCUCCCUCCACACAUUCCAGUCAUCAGCCUCGGUCACAGCAAACCCCCUCUCCCGCUCACCAAUACCCCUUUGACUGCCCUUCACCCAAUUCCCAACCUCCUACAUGGUCCCCAUGGGGACCCACGCCGCAGUCAGCUGACCUGCUUGCCUGUGGCCAGCCCUGGAGCUUCUGGAUCUUCUGUAGGUUCUGGGGGGCCUUCAGCUCCCUCCCCAGGACCCCUGUUGUCUCAGCAGUACCUGUCUGCACACCCCUUCUUCACCAGUUCUUACCUGGGUCCCUCAGGAGGAAACUAUGGUGUCAUCAACAACAACCGGAUCAAGAGAAGACCCUCGUCACACUUUGAGAUGGAGAUCAGCGAAU
rnacentral:lncRNA from 15 species